rnacentral:rRNA from 1 species
UACGGAGGGUGCAAGCGUUAUCCGGAUUCACUGGGUUUAAAGGGUGCGUAGGUGGGUUGGUAAGUCAGUGGUGAAAUCUCCAGGCUUAACUUGGAAACUGCCAUUGAUACUAUCAAUCUUGAAUACCGUGGAGGUCAGCGGAAUAUGUCAUGUAGCUGUGAAAUGCUUAGAUAUGACAUAGAACACCAAUUGCGAAGGCAGCUGGCUACACGAAUAUUGACACUGAUGCACGAAAGCGUGGGGAUCAAACAGG